rnacentral:rRNA from 1 species
UACGUAGGGUGCAGGCGUUAAUCGGAAUUACUGGGCGUAAAGCGUGCGCAGGCGGUUUCUUAAGUCAGAUGUGAAAGCCCCGGGCUUAACCUGGGAACUGCGUUUGAAACUGGGAGACUUGAGUGUGGCAGAGGGGGGUGGAAUUCCACGUGUAGCAGUGAAAUGCGUAGAUAUGUGGAGGAACACCAAUGGCGAAGGCAGCCCCCUGGGUCAACACUGACGCUCAUGCACGAAAGCGUGGGGAGCAGACAGG